rnacentral:rRNA from 1 species
AGUGAACGCUGGGGGUAGGCCUAACACAUGCAGGUCGAACGGCAGCACAGGAGAGCUUGCUCUCUGGGUGGCGAGUGGCGGACGGGUGAGGAAUACAUCGGAAUCUACUCUGUCGUGGGGGAUAACGUAGGGAAACUUACGCUAAUACCGCAUACGACCUACGGGUGAAAGCAGGGGACCUUCGGGCCUUGCGCGAUUGAAUGAGCCGAUGUCGGAUUAGCUAGUUGGCGGGGUAAAGGCCCACCAAGGCGACGAUCCGUAGCUGGUCUGAGAGGAUGAGCAGCCACACUGGAACUGAGACACGGUCCAGACUCCUACGGGAGGCAGCAGUGGGGAAUAUUGGACAAUGGGCGCAAGCCUGAUCCAGCCAUACCGCGUGGGUGAAGAAGGCCUUCGGGUUGUAAAGCCCUUUUGUUGGGAAAGAAAUCCAGCUGGCUAAUACCCGGUUGGGAUGACGGUACCCAAAGAAUAAGCACCGGCUAACUUCGUGCCAGCCGCCGCCGUAA